ensembl:lncRNA
GCCCAGCACACGAAGAGACAACACACAUUAUGUUAACCCUUGGCGUGGUCCUAGCUCUUGGGCACCUUACUAGCCAAAAGGAAAUAACAGGUGCUGCAUGCACACAUUCAAUGCGCAACAGCACACCAUACAAUACAAGUAAAAUGAUACGGAACAUAAUUCGGACAAAGUAAAAGACAUACAUUAUGUUAACGCUUGGCGCGGUGCUAGCUCUCAGGCACCUACACAUGGACACUCAAACACUGUCCCAAGUCCUCACAAGUUACAAUAGAUACCCUAGUUAGCGAGCUUUGUGAAACUAGUUAACAUAAAUAUUUAUAUUAUCCACAUUGUAACAAACGUAUGGUAGCAUAACAGUACAUUGUGUAACAUUACCACGGUUUUAUAUUGAACCAUUUCGGAGCCAAGGACAACAUACCUUGCUAGCCGAAGGUCAGGCAAAAUAACAAUAAGGGGGUACGGAAAUACAGAUAACCCGCGAUGGACCAAACCAAAACAUACAAAACUUUUACAAUCACAUGUAUGUACAAUAUUGAUGUGGAAAAGUGUUUGUACACCAAAGAAAAACAUUAGCUAUGCAGCUGUAAUUAAAUAAAUAAAUACACUGAAUUAUGAUUAUUAUCAAAUUAUUAACAUCCCCUCAGAGUUGUCCAUUUUUAAAGAAAUGCAGCCAAUUUAUUCAUUACAUUUAGCUAACAUAGUUAAUCAAGAGAUUCUUACUUUUGCCUCCAUCAGCAUGAUUGUAAUGACAUUUGUAGUUCUUUAUAACCACAUUAGCAGCUAAUUAGCAUUCCAUGUUGGGUAAAUACAGGCAAAUAUAUUGAUAAAAGUCACCUUGACCUAGAGAUUUACACAGAUAUCAAACUGUCACACCAGGGUAAACCUACCUGAACCACAGCCCUUAUUUUGUGAAAAUGGAAUGGAAUGGUGGAAAAACAAUUGGAACCAUUUCCCUGUUUGACCGCUAGGUUUUAUGGUAUUAUGACUCAUACUGUGGUACUCUAUAGGGCUCCGGCCAAAAUAAGUGCUGUCUUUCAGGAAUCAGUGGGAAUGACCUCACCCUCACAGACCUGGGUGACCCCAUCAAUGACGGUGAUGUUAUGAAGGAAGUCAAGUGAGUGAUUUACACUAAUGACACAUAUGUGACUGGUUACAGGAUCACAUAGACCUACAAAUACAGAUUCUGUAGUAGGUCAAAGAUCACCACCUAUGGAGAGGUAGGCCCAGAGCCAUGUAUUUGGUUAGUUGGGACAUUCAAAUAUCUGCAUUAUGUUGCAUUUACA